rnacentral:rRNA from 1 species
UACGUAGGGUGCGAGCGUUGUCCGGAAUUAUUGGGCGUAAAGGGCGCGUAGGCGGCUUGACAAGUCAAAGGUGAAAUCCCUCGGCUCAACUGAGGAACUGCCUUUGAAACUGUCUGGCUUGAGGCCGGGAGGGGGUAGCGGAAUUCCCAGUGUAGCGGUGAAAUGCGCAGAUAUCAGGAGGAACACCCGUGGCGAAAGCGGCUCUCUGGGACGGUACCGACGCUGAGGAGCGAAAGCGUGGGGAGCGAACAGG